AGGGGUAUAGCUCAACUGGCAGAGCAGAACUCUCCAAAAGUUCAGGCUGAUUGGGUUCGAGUCCCUCUACCCCUGCCA
rnacentral:tRNA from 1 species